rnacentral:misc_RNA from 1 species
GCGUGUGUAUGGGAUGCAACCGCCAAUUCUAUGCAGAAAGCGGCAAAAUUUUUGUGUAGGAACGGGUGCGAAGUUUGUAAAUUCAUGUAGAAUCAUACCCAUAAAUUGACAAGCAAAUGUUGGUUGCUGCUGUGAUCACACAUGGGACAAUAUUCAGAAGUGCCUUGGCAUUAAAAGGAAUUCAUCAAGUGAUCAAAGAUUAUUUAGUACCAAGUUGUAGAUGCUGUAAUUGUUAUAUUCC